rnacentral:rRNA from 1 species
UGGGGAAUCUUGGACAAUGGGCGCAAGCCUGAUCCAGCCAUGCCGCGUGAGUGACGAAGGCCUUAGGGUUGUAAAACUCUUUCGUCGGGGACGAUAAUGACGGUACCCGAAGAAGAAGCUCCGGCUAACUUCGUGCCAGCAGCCGCGGUAAUACGAAGGGAGCUAGCGUUGUUCGGAAUCACUGGGCGUAAAGCGCACGUAGGCGGAUAGUUAAGUCAGGGGUGAAAUCCUGGGGCUCAACCCCAGAACUGCCUUUGAUACUGGCUGUCUCGAGGUCGAGAGAGGUUGGUGGAAUUCCCAGUGUAGAGGUGAAAUUCGUAGAUAUUAGGAAGAACACCAGUGGCGAAGGCGGCCAACUGGCUCGAUACUGACGCUGAGGUGCGAAAGCGUGGGGAGCAAACAGGAUUAGAUACCCCUGUAGUCCCUGAGCGGGCUGGCAAGGCGCAU